rnacentral:lncRNA from 1 species
UGACUCUCACAGCACCUGCAGGAUCCAAAAUUGAUUUCUUCUACAACAUCGUUGUGCGAGCUGGAAACACAGGAACCAAAUCAGAUCCCAAGAUUGGAGUCACACCGAUGUUUGCCACUGACAACCAAGUGAUCCAAUUUAAAGUGUCUGGAAGUGUUCGCUACGUCCGCAUACAAAACGAGGCCGAACUGAAGUCAAUCUUGGUCUGCAAGCUGCAAGCUUUCCUGUAAAGAGAGAGAACCGCAGACCAAGCGCCGUACUGUCAAAAAAUAUAUAGAAGAUCGUAACUCCUUCAGCCAAUCACUAAUAGCUUUUUAAGCUAAACGCACCAAUCACAAACGAGAAAUUGGCCGCUACGUGUACUUAGAUCGCUAGGUGGUCUUG